AUGAACGACGACCUGUGCCGGCCGUACAGCAAUGAACAUAUCAAAUGUGCUUUGUUCCAAAUGGGCCCAACGAAAGCCCCUGGACCGGAUGGGUUCCCUGCCCUUUUCUAUCAGACUCACUGGGGUUUCCUUGAGGCAGAUAUCUGUCAGGCUGUACGAGGUUUUCUGGAAGGCAGACCAAUUCCUGAAGGUUUUUGCGAUUCUGUGAUUGUUUUGAUCCCUAAGACUACAAGACCAAAGCAUCUUAAGAACUUCAGGCCGAUUAGUCUCUGUAACGUGCUGUACAAAAUUGCGUCGAAGGUUCUUGCCAAUCGUCUGAAGGUGCUUCUGCCUAUUGUGGUGUCCGAGUGUCAAAGCGCCUUUGUUCCUGGUAGACUGAUCACUGACAACACUCUCAUUGCAUACGAAUGUCUGCACACUAUUCGGAAGCAGCGUGUGAAACAACCCUUCUUUGCUCUUAAGAUAGACAUGAUGAAGGCAUAUGACCGUAUUGAAUGGAACUACCUCCAUGCCUGCCUUUCCAAACUGGGUUUCGCCACUGCCUGGAUUGAUUCUGUGAUGAGAUGCGUUACAACGGUUCGUUAUGCUGUCAGAGUCAACGGUGAGCUUACUGAACUGGUGGUUCCGUCGAGGGGGAUCCGUCAAGGGGAUCCAAUUAGCCCCUACCUAUUUCUGCUUUGCACUGAAGGUUUGUCUAGUCUGCUUCUUCAGAAGGAGUGUUGUGGCGAGCCACAUGGGAUCAAAAACGGCCGUCAUGGCCCUCCUAUCUCACACCUCCUAUUCGCGGAUGAUAGCAUCUUCUUUGCUAAGUGUGACCAGCGUAGUGUGGACUCUUUGGACUCCGUCUUGCAAAUGUAUUGUGAUGGGUCUGGCCAGGCUAUCAACAAGGAGAAAUCAUCUAUCUUUUUUGGCCAGAACUGUCCGGACAUCAUUAAGAACAGGUUCAAGUCCAGAUUGGGAAUUCACAAUGAAACCUUUCAUGAUUUCUACCUUGGUAUGCCUACAGAAGUUGGUAAUUCUCCCACUAGUACCUUCAAGUUCUUGACUGAUAGAGCUUGGCAGAAUCUUUUUGGGUGGAGCGACCGGCCCUUAUCCAGGGCUGGGAAUGAGACGUUAUUGAAGUCCAUCACUCAGGCCAUUCCAACUUUCGUCUCUAGCUGUUUCCGCCUUCCUGUGGCCACUUGUGAAAAGUUCAGACAAAUUGUUGCCGAUCGGUGGUGGGGAAGAGAGGAUGGAAAGAAGAAACUUCAC
rnacentral:rRNA from 1 species